rnacentral:rRNA from 1 species
GCAAGUCGAGCGGUAACAGAGGAGCUUGCUCCUGGGCUCUAGUGGCAGACGGGUGAGUAACGCGUGGGCAAUCUACCUCCGAUUUUGGAAUACCUGGCCGAAAGGCCCGUUAAUACCAAAUAACAUCUUAGGUACUUCGGUACUAUUGAUCAAAGUUGGGGUCUGCGAAAGUGGACCUGACGAUUGGAGAGGAGCUCGCGUCAGAUUAGCUAGUUGGUGGGGUAAUGGCCUACCAAGGCAACGAUCUGUAGCCGGCCUGAGAGGAUGAUC